rnacentral:misc_RNA from 1 species
GGUCAGUGGUGCCUGGGCUAGUCGUAUCGUCCACUUGGAUCGUAACUAGCGACGGUAACAACGGCAAUACGGCAACAGCAGUGCAGAAGCAAUGUUCGCGUCCUCGUAGCCGUUAGCGCCGACGCAACGUCCAGCCUAGUAGACAGUAUUUGGUGGUCCAGGUUCCGAGCAACGGGCGCAUCUGCAUCGAACGGAGACAGGAUAGUAAAUUACACGUUGACUAGAGCUGACAACCGCAAUGCGUGCCACACACUGGCAUGCAUGGGCCUCUGCACGAGAUGCCGUGUGUUUAUGCGAACGCUUCCAGUGUACUCAACAGUCGCAAGGGAAUAUUUGCAGAGUCGUGGGUUUCUUCGAGAGUCGAACAAAGUGGUCCUAAUGGCGCAAAAAC